CUGAAGGAGGAGCUUGCUUCUCCGGAUGAGUUGCGAACGGGUGAGUAACGCGUAGGUAACCUGCCUGGUAGCGGGGGAUAACUAUUGGAAACGAUAGCUAAUACCGCAUAAUAGUAGAUGUUGCAUGACAUUUACUUAAAAGGUGCAAUUGCAUCACUACCAGAUGGACCUGCGUUGUAUUAGCUAGUUGGUGGGGUAACGGCUCACCAAGGCGACGAUACAUAGCCGACCUGAGAGGGUGAUCGGCCACACUGGGACUGAGACACGGCCCAGACUCCUACGGGAGGCAGCAGUAGGGAAUCUUCGGCAAUGGACGGAAGUCUGACCGAGCAACGCCGCGUGAGUGAAGAAGGUUUUCGGAUCGUAAAGCUCUGUUGUAAGAGAAGAACGAGUGUGAGAGUGGAAAGUUCACACUGUGACGGUAUCUUACCAGAAAGGGACGGCUAACUACGUGCCAGCAGCCGCGGUAAUACGUAGGUCCCGAGCGUUGUCCGGAUUUAUUGGGCGUAAAGCGAGCGCAGGCGGUUAGAUAAGUCUGAAGUUAAAGGCUGUGGCUUAACCAUAGUACGCUUUGGAAACUGUUUAACUUGAGUGCAAGAGGGGAGAGUGGAAUUCCAAGUGUAGCGGUGAAAUGCGUAGAUAUAUGGAGGAACACCGGUGGCGAAAGCGGCUCUCUGGCUUGUAACUGACGCUGAGGCUCGAAAGCGUGGGUAGCAAACAGGAUUAGAUACCCUGGUAGUCCACGCCGUAAACGUUGGGCGCUAGACGU
rnacentral:rRNA from 1 species